UACGUAGGGCGCAAGCGUUGUCCGGAAUUAUUGGGCGUAAAGAGCUCGUAGGCGGCCUGUUGCGUCCGCUGUGAAAUCCCGGGGCUCAACCCCGGGCCUGCAGUGGAUACAGGCUGGCUAGAGGCAGGCAGGGGAGAACGGAAUUCCUGGUGUAGCGGUGAAAUGCGCAGAUAUCAGGAGGAACACCGGUGGCGAAGGCAGCUCGCUGGGACGUGACUGACGCUGAGACGCGAAAGCGUGGGGAGCAAACAGG
rnacentral:rRNA from 1 species